UUCCCAAGGAGGUGUCAUUUAC
rnacentral:miRNA from 1 species